CGUCCUGUACCCAUAUAUGCAUAUGUAUAUAUAUGUAUAUAUGUAUAUAUACAUAUGCAUAUAUGGGUACAGGACGU
rnacentral:pre_miRNA from 1 species